rnacentral:rRNA from 1 species
GAAUAUUGGACAAUGGGCGCAAGCCUGAUCCAGCAAUACCGCGUGUGUGAAGAAGGCCUGAGGGUUGUAAAGCACUUUCAAUUGGGAGGAAAACCUGCCGGCCAAUACCCGGCAGCUUGACAUUACCUUUAGAAGAAGCACCGGCUAACUCCGUGCCAGCAGCCGCGGUAAUACGGAGGGUGCAAGCGUUAAUCGGAAUUACUGGGCGUAAAGCGUGCGUAGGCGGUUAUUUAAGUCAGAUGUGAAAGCCCCGGGCUUAACCUGGGAACUGCAUUUGGUACUGGGUAACUAGAGUUUAAUAGAGGAGAGUGGAAUUUCAGGUGUAGCSGUGAAAGUGCGUAGAGAUCGGAAGGAACACCAGU